GAGAUAUUGUGAAGGCACAAUGGCAGGACUGGGCAAAUGAUUGGAUGUCAGAAAUGAGAGAGAUGAAGGUAGGAGGGACAGAAAUGGAAAUAGAGAGAAGAGUUAGGGAUAAACUAUAAGUGGUUGUGAGCCUGAGUUACUGUAAGUAUGGUGGUACUCUGGCCAGUAAUAAGGAAAUUAGGCAGAGGAGACUUGACUAAGACAAAUUUAACUCAGAAGACUAUCAUGAAUGCACAUAUUUUCUCACAGUUGUGAAUGGUACAGAAACAUUUUUGGAAGAAACAGACAUUCACUAAGCUACAAUCAAGACCAAUUUCAGGUAUCCAUCCAACCUCAAACUGAAGACAUACAGUGGUGUGAAUGCUAUAACUCUCAAGGAGCUACAGAAGUCUAUUCUGCUUUAAGAAAACUCUAUUUUAAGGAAGUUACUUUUCUUCUCUUUCACAUAAACCUCAUGCUAGACAACAAUCUAUUCAUUCACUAUCCUUUGGAUCCAGUUAUCCAAGGAAGAAAGAUAAGUUCUGUUUUAGAGCUAUUGAGUUUGAGAUGCCUAGAGGACAGCAAUCUAUUCAUUGGAUCACCUACUAAUAGUAACUGCUGAAAACUAUAGAGAUUUAGUCUCAAUUUAAGAAGACUGUUCCUCAGGUAAAGGCUGGUCACUAGUGGAUGCCAGGACAUGACAUUUUUUAUCUCAAGGCUGUUUAACUUUUAUCUAUUUUUUAAACAGGUUAAAACAUUCAGACUUCUCUCCUUACUGUGUUCAUUACAUGAGAAAUACUAUUAGUAUAAUUCAAUUAAUUUUAAGUACAUCAAAAGUAAAACGUGCCUUGAUUAAGCAUUUUUUUUGUCCUUGAGUAAAUGGAAAUAUAUUUGAAUAUCACAAGUAUGUUUUUGAUACCUAAAUUAUCCAGGCUAUCUGAUCUAUUUUAGCUAAAGUGUUUAUUCCAACAACUAUAAUUUAUUCAAGGUCUACUUAAAUAACAAGUGAUUACAAUUGAC
rnacentral:lncRNA from 1 species